AAAAAAAAAAAUGUGCCAAUCGGACUGAGCCCAUAGAAUCCGCAUGGGGGGGGGGGGGGAGGUGAGCAACAGGAAAGUACAUUUGUCACAACCACCUCUGGUGAUCUGGCUCAAAGUGAAGUUUGAGGACCUCUUUCUGGCCCCUUGACUCGAUUUCUUUUUACCUCCCAAACCCUCCCUUCGAUCCGGAACACCUUUCCACAUCCGACCCUUUACUGCUCAGAAGUUUUCCACGGAAGCCCUUUCGGGCUGAAUAAAGCCGAACUCGGCCGGACUUAGAGGGCACACCCCAUGCUGCCCUCCUUCCCAUAUUCCCAUCUUAUUUCCCACGUCUGUCUCCAGCCGUAUUCCGUGAUGGCUGCCCUUGGCUUUCACACCGCCAAGCCUUUUCUUACAAUGGUGCCUUCUCCUGGGUUGCCGUUCCAAUCUCCUCCUGACUCAGUUAUCUUACACUCAGAAGAGGAGAAAUAUUGUCUGACUAGGCUGUACCAUUUUUGGUGGCCUUUGAAAUUCUGGUAAAAUGACCUUCUUGAGUGGCAGGCAGCCAGACUCUUGUUAAUCCCCUGGGCUGGUUCUGAAAUCCAACUUCCUCCCCUAGUUGAAAACACUCUUCAGCCACUUCCUUUGGUCCAGGCCGAAUACCCUUAGGAAUGCUGUCAUGUCCUUAAUAUUAGUCUCACUCAAUAUAAAGAGGAAGGCAAGCAGGAAAUCCUUUCCUCUGGCCACAGGUGGUCUCCCUUGGCACCUCUCUGGCCCAAUCCCUCCCAACCUUGUUUGCAGGUUCAUCAUCCUCUCCCAAACUUCUUUUCCUGGAGUCACCCUCCUUGGCGAGCUCCUUCCUUCCCCCAGGCUUCACCCAGGGCUCCCAUGUGUUGCUCCAGCUCAGACCGCUUCACUGAGCUUCAGUUGCUUAUGUACAAGUGUCAGCUUCGCACUGGAUGCCUCAGACACGCCAUCAGUUAGAAUCCUUAUGGUGGCAUAUGCCGGAAAAAUCAGGUCAAACUGGCUUAUAUAGCAAGGGGAUUCAUCUCACAAGGUAGGGCAGGCUCCGGGGGUGGCACCCUGGGCUUCAGACAUUGCUUCCCAACAGUCCCUGGAAUUGUACUUUCAGGCUGGAAGCAAGAUGGCUGCUGCCAUCCCAGGCACACCCAAAUGUUACAGUGUCCAGAAAAAUAAAGAGGAUCCUUUUCUUCCAAUGGUCUUUUCCAAAGAGCAAGAAUAUCUUUCCCAGAAGCCCUUCAGAAGCAAUGCCCGAGUUCCAGUGACCAGAAAUGAGUCACUGGGACUCUGUCCACAUCGAAACCAAUCAAGGGCAAGUGGAAGGAGUCUGCCAUGAUGGGCUAGGGCCAAUCAAGAUUUACCCUGUAUCCCUCCCUAGAGGGAGGAUACUGACAUAAUCAGAUUUGUAUUUUGAAAAGGCCACCAGAGUAGGAGAGCAUUUGGGAAACGAUUGCAGUCACUGAGCCAGAGAUGGCUGCAUGAAUGUAAUGGUGGGGAUCGAGAAGUGAAUGCAUUGCAGAGAUAUUUAGAAGGUGGAUUGGACAGGACUUGGCCAUGGAUAGGACCUGGGGAGUAGGAGUACAAAGACAAAAGGGUGUUAUGGAUGCCACCUAGACUUUUGGCCCGAGCUACUGGAUAGAUGGGCUUCAAUUUUUGUUGAGGAGUCCAACCCUUCAGUGGUUUCCCACAGCUCUUAGGACAAAGACCAAUGGUGUGGCGGGAAAACACCUACCUGUCCAGCCGCAUUUGCCCCAGACUGCAGUCACUUGCAUUCCUCUGAGAUCUCAGCUGAAACACCACUUCCUCAGAGCGAUGUUCCAUUGCUUUGGGAGAGGACUUAUUAGUGUCUUUGUCCCACGCUAUACGUAAGUGCCAUGAGGCAGGGACCAUGUGUUUCUCUCUUCAUGGUCUCCCCGACAGCCAGUCCAAUGCCUGGAUGUAGUAGGUAUGCGCCAUGUAUUUGACAAAUGAAGGACGGAAGCAGCUAAAAUAAAUUAAAAACACCUACCAACCUGUACGCCCCCAGCUCUGCAGUAAGAAAGUAGUUCAUUAUGAAAACAAAGAUGAUGGGCUCCAAGGGAAAUGAGGCAGCCUCAAGGCAUUUUAAGAUGAAAAUAGAUGCUCUUCAACGUGAUGUUGGGAAAACUGGACAGCAGUAUGCAAAAGAAUGAAAAUGCUCUACUUUCUUUCACCGUACACAAAAAUAAACUCAAAAUGGAUUA